rnacentral:rRNA from 1 species
CCUACGGGGGGCAGCAGUGGGGAAUAUUGCACAAUGGGGGAAACCCUGAUGCAGCGACGCCGCGUGAAGGAAGAAGUAUUUCGGUAUGUAAACUUCUAUCAGCAGGGAAGUAAGUGACGGUACCUGACUAAGAAGCCCCGGCUAACUACGUGCCAGCAGCCGCGGUAAUACGUAGGGGGCAAGCGUUAUCCGGAUUUACUGGGUGUAAAGGGAGCGUAGGCGGCGAUGCAAGUCAGAAGUGAAAGCCCGGGGCUCAACUCCGGGACUGCUUUUGAAACUGUAUGGCUAGAUUGCAGGAGAGGCAAGUGGAAUUCGUAGUGUAGCGGUGAAAUGCGUAGAUAUUAGGAGGAACACCAGUGGCGAAGGCGGUCUGCUGAACAGCAACUGACGGUGAGGCGCGAAAGCGUGGGGAGCAAACAGGAUUAGAUACCCUAGUAGUC